rnacentral:lncRNA from 1 species
UCCUGAAUUUUCAUAGGUACUUGACGCCGUCCAGUCCAGCAGGGCAGGCGAGGGCCGGACCGCACCGCCGCCGGAGACCAGACCGGACCGGACUGGACGACCUCUCCUCCGACUCCGGCUCCGAUCCGCCGCCGACCUCCGAGAGGUAAAGCCCGCCUCCUUCACUCGUGCUUGUGCCGGCCAACCAAUCGCCUCAAUAGUACCCUAUCCACAGCCACAGGGAUGGGGAUGGAUGAUGCAGCUAGCGCGUAGGGUAUAGACCUCGUUGGGAUCUUGCUUGUCUUCGCCAUGGCCACCAAGUCGUUUCUCCCUCCCCCAUUCUCCUCUUCCCCGACGCAGCCUCCUCCCGCCCUCGCCCUCGCCCUCCCCAGCGCCCGCCGC